AGAUUACUGCUGUAAACUAGAGAUCUUUUCACACAUUGAGCUUUCUAAGGAUAAGGAAUAUAUUUGUGGUAACUGCUUGCCAGAGCAGUGAUAGUUAUGGAGAAACUUUAUGGACUGGGGUAGACUUUAAUUUUCAAGACUUGAGGCAGCCCAGACAAAGGACUAGCAAUUGCACCGUUGUUUUACAAUGAGCCCAGGAUGAACCCAGGACUUCCCUAUGUAGGUGCUUGGAGAGAGUCCUGAACUGAGGAAUAGUUUAACAACUAGCAACUGUGUGCAGAAGACACAAAUACCGAAGACUCUCUUACGAAGAUGGUUGCAAACCCAGCUGAGGAUAGGAGGUAAAGGAUGAAUUAACUUGGAAGAAAGGGAUGAAAUUGGUAAGUGAACAGGAAAUGGAUGAUGUCAGUAGAGCUACCUGUCUUUCUGCUUUGAGAAAGCUUUUCAACAAUAAAAUAAAGCCUCUGCAUUUAUACCAAUCAGAAAAGGAGAUAAUUCACAGCAUCAGAGGACUUCUUGUUCACCCAUGAUUUCCUAACACUCACUUGUCAUUUUAAGUUUUCUAUGAUGCACUGUAAGGUUACCCUGCACUUUAUGAAUGAUGAAAUUCUUUUGAGAAAUACUCAGUAUUUGAGGUUUGUACAUGAAAAACAAAAUAUUCUCAAAUUCUACAUGAAUACUAAUUGUAGAAACAAUUGAGGCUGAAAAAAAAAAAGACCUCACUUGGUAAAUGCAUUUUAUCUCAAAAGAAUAGUAAUUUGCAAUAUACGUCUUGAACAGCAAAGAACCAAGAAAUGGAGCAUGGCCAGAAGUCCUAACUCAGUAGAAAGGACAGGAAUGAGACACCUAACAAAAAUAUCCUCAAGGUGUUACAAUACUAUAUUAACUGCUAGUGGUCGAUAUCAUUUCAUUUUGCCAUUCCUGAAGUCUUCCAACCACUCAUUGUGUCAAACACCACCCCUACUUCCACCUGAAAAUUGUUCCUGUCAAAAUAUUCAUUUGCUAUGAACUGCAUUAAUUGGAUAAAAAAUCACAGUGAUGCAAAAUUCCUUACUAUAUCUAUUUAUGAAAAUGAAAUUCCAAUGCAAUAAACACUUUGUUAUUGUAGAGAUACACCUGCUCUAAAAUCAGGAAGCCAUUAUAUGUAAUCCAACCAUAUAUUAUAAUAUAUUAUCUAGAAAAUUAGAUAAAAUGUAAUAAAGGUCAAGCAUACCUCUGAAGUGGUUAUUUAAUCAGGCAGUGCUGGCUUUACAUAUUUCAGCCACAAAACAACUGGGAGCAUACUGAGGAUACGUGAUACUGAAAAUGUCUAUGCUGAACAUUUAUAUAUUCCAGAUAAAUUUUGUGUCUUAUGUCAUAUCACUGAAUCAUAGAAUGACUUGUGUCGGAUGAGACCUUAAAGAUCAUCCAGUUCCAACUCCCUACUGCAGGCAGCGUUGCCACCACUACAUCAGGAAGCUCCGUUCAACCCCAGCCCUGAAUGCCUCUGGGGAUGGAUCAUCCACAGCUUCUCUGGGCAACCCGAAUAUUUAAAUACAUAUCAAGCUGUAUUCAUACUGAUAGAAAUUUGCUUGGAUGUUGAAACAUAAUUAACUAACUCCAGGAGGGGUAGUAUACACAUGACAUGAUGAUAUAAAGCUAGGAUGAGUGGUUGGCACACCAGAAGGCUGUCCAGAUAUUCAGCAAUACCUGGACAGAUUGGAGAGUUGGAACCUUAUGGGGUUCCACAAGGGCGAGUGUAGAAUCCUACACUGGGGAAGGAGGAAUAACUGCACGUCAGUGCAAGUUAGGGGCUGACCUGCUGGAAAUUAACUCUGAGGAUAAGGAUCUGGGUGUCCUGAUGGACAGCAGGUUGGCUAUGAGCCAGCAGUGUGCCUUUGUGGCCAGGAAGGCCAUUGCUAUCCUAGGGUGCAAUAAGAAGGGUCAAAGGAGAUAAUCCUCACCCUCUACUCUACCCUAGUGAGACCAGAUUUGGAGUACUGUGUUCAGCUCUGGGAUCCCUACUUCAAAAAAAGACAGGGAUCUCCUAGAAAGAGUCCAGUGGAAGACCACAAAGAUGAUUAGGGGUCUGGAGCAUCUCAUACGAGGAAAGACUGAGCAACCUGGAACUGUUCAGAUGGCAGUAAACUGAGAGGGAAUCUUAUCAAAGCUUAUAAAUAUGUAAGGUGUGGAAGUCAAGUGGGGGUAGGAUCUUUCCAGUGAUGCCCAGUGACAGAACAAGAAAUUCCAUAUGAAUCAUAUGAAUAUGGGGAAAAACUUCCUUACAGCAUAGGAUGUAGUAAGAAAGCAUACAAUUCUGUAUGUACUUACUAAAUAUUUUCUCAGAAACAAUUUUAUAUCUUGGGAAAGGUGGUGACUCUGUUUCACUGUGUGACAGAAAGCACUUUCUGAUCUGUUUGUUUGCAGCCACUGUUUGUCAAAUCAUGUCUUGAGGGAAAUUCAGUUGCUGGGACUUAGUUAAUUUGAAGCAAUCCAAUUAUUAUCAUUAGGUUAGUAGCCAACUUCAGCAAGCAUGAUUUCUGGUUUUGAGAGCUGGCCACUGGAAAGGAAAGCAGACAUAAUUUAGUAUGGUAGUAGGAAACUCUGCAAAUGGCUCAGAAUACAAAUGGUACAUUGAGAUUAAAAUCUCAUUUUAUCUCUGUUCUAUGGGCUGCUGUGAAAAUGGGAUUUUAUGUUUGUAUGGUUUUUUUAAAAAAUUAUUUAUUAAAUCCAAGUAUCUAGAAUAGAAUUAAAAAUGGAACAAGUGCUUUAUAGACAGCUUUCUGCAAAUUUACAGAAACUAAAAAAGGUUAAUAGGGCAGAGAAGAAGUAGAAAAGUGGAAGAAUAGAAAAGGCAUAAAAUAAGACUUAAGGGAUGAAAAGGAGCAUCAAAAAUAUACUACUGAUAAACACU